GACGAACGCUGGCGGCGUGCUUAACACAUGCAAGUCGAACGGAAAGGCCUGCUUUCCCUUGUGGAUUGCGGGUACUCGCGUGGCGAACGGGUGAGUAACACGUGAGUGAUCUGCCCCCAACUUGGGUAUAAGCCUGGGAAACUGGGUCUAAUUCCCGAUAGGACUGCAGGGUGGUGCCUGUGGUGGCAAACGCUUUUCUAGUGGUUGGGGAUGAGCUCGCGGCCUAUCAGCUUGUUGGAGGGGUAAUGGCCUACCAAGGCGGCGACGGGUAGCCGGCCUGGGAGGGUGGACGGCCACAUUGGGACUGGGACACGGCCCAAACGCCUACGGGAGGCAGCAGUGGGGAAUAAUGGACAAUGGGCGGAAGGCUGAUGCAGCGGCGCCGCGUGGGGGAUGACGGCCUUCGGGUUGUAGACUCCUUUCGACCGCGAGGAAGCCACCUGGUUGGAAGGGUGGUGACGGUAGUGGUGGAAGAAGCACCGGCUAACUACGUG
rnacentral:rRNA from 1 species